AAUAAUGGGCCUAAUUAAAAUUUGAGCAUGAAGCAAAUUUAAUGAGCAUCGACGGAGUAACAAGUGAAGGCGUCCAGGAGUAGUAAUGAGUGAAGAAAAUGCUUGGGCGAAUUGUCCCACCUCGCUCGAUGCUCUAUAAAUAGCCUAAAACAAAAGGCUCUGACAUUCCUCUUGGAAAAAAUAAAACUGAUUUAUGAUUCGAUCUCCAUAGUAUCGAACGAGUCUAAGGAGUACCGAUCGAGUCUAAACAGUACAUCCGACCAAAGCAGUAAAACCUUACCACCGAUCCGAGUCUGCACUAACAGCAGUACAUCCGAUCAAAGCAGCACAACCGACCACCAAUCCGAGUCCGAGUCUGGACAGUAAAGCACAUCUGACGCCCGCACAGUACACCGAUCCAAGUCAAGUCAGCAAGCACAUCCGAGAGUCCGGACAGUAAAACACAUCUGCCCCCGCACAGUACAUGGAUCCGAGUCAAGUCAGCUCGCACAUUCGACCCCGCACAAUACACCGAUCCGAGUCAAGUCACCAAGCACAUCCUCCCCCGUACAGUACACCGAUCCGAGUCAAGUCAGCAAGCACAGUAAAAAACAAGUAAAAUUGCCGGAUACCAAUCAGGGACAGUUUUAACCGACCUUUGAUCUGGAUCAAGAAUGAUCGAUUUUGAAUGGCGGAUCAUACGAUAAGAACUAAAUGAUACAAGCUCAUCUAAGACAACACAGAUAUCUCAAAAAAUGAUCAAUCAUAAAGCUAAGAACUCAUUGGCAUAAGACUAAGACCACGACUUUUGGACUUAGCAAUAUUUUUUUUGUGUGAUUGUCACUGCCCUAUUUUGGCCUCCAGAAUGUUUUGAGAAAUAUUGGAUGUAUGAUAGUCACUGCCCUAUUUUGGCCUCCAGAAUCUUUUGGGAAAAUAUUGGAAGAUUCUAGAUGUUCUUGAGGGUCAGCUUGGUCAACCAUGACAAGUUUUUUAUUGCUCUUGACCAAAAUUCGACCCUAGAAAUGAUAGUCCUAAACUAUUAGAGCUCCUAAUCCCCAUCAGAUUACUGCCGAUUGAAGCCUUUCAUAAUCCAUAUCAAAAAAAAAAAAAUCACUCGAAAAUCCUAGAAUAACCAAAAAUCCUUUAAAUUAGAGCAAACCUUAGAGAAACGCUAGAUCUAGGAAGCCCAGGAGAAUCAACCCUAAGCCAAACUAAUUCUCUAUAGUUUUCAAAACCCUAAAUAAAAAAAAACCCUUGGAAGAACAUUCUAGAGGCAUCUAUCUAUUUACAUCAAAACCUAGGAAGUUUUUUUUGAUAAAUCCUCUCUGAUUUUAUGCCAUAAAAUCAAUUAGUUUUAAAAAUCAGUAGAGAUUCAUGGGGAAGGUUGAAUUGCCAUCUGGAGAUGGAUUAACCGCGAUGGGACAAUUGCCUUGUUGGCAACACCACCAAAUUUUCCUACAAAAACAAUACUAAUAUAAAUCUUAAAGGAAAUAAAUUUGAAGGGAAAAAAAAAUAAGACUUUACCAAACUAGGGUAGUAGGCCCGGCUCGCCUGAAACUCAGAGUUGACACCUGUAUCAAACUGCAGAUUUGUUUAUACUGAUCUCCUUCUAUUUCUUGAAGAAUGCUUGAGACAUGUUCGUCAUAGGGCUUAGUUUAAGGUUUUAAAAUAUUGAUGGAAUUAAGGUUAUGGAUUCCUAGAUCUAUGUUAGAGUUUGGGUGAACUUUAUUG
rnacentral:lncRNA from 1 species